AGAUCAUAGACUACAGCGAGGGUUUGAGCAUGCCGCUUAGCAUGGAUGUGCAUUCAACAAAGCCUUGGAUAUUGCUAUGCCAUGUCGAUGGCGAAGUCUCUAUUUGGAACCACCAGAACCAGGUUAAAGGGGCACAAGGACUAAAAAUAUGUAUAAGUUCAUUGGUGCAGAAAUAGAGCAUAUGGAUUCUGGAAGAUUGAAAAAAAA